UCAGUUAAGAAAAGUCAAUGGUGGUGCAGAUGGUGAUGACAGCUCAUACAGAAAUGCGCUAGAUUUCUAACCAUUGCCCAUCGAAACACUGAUUUCAGACUGGCAGGGCUGUAAUGACAACAUAAAUGAAGCACAGGAAUGUCUGCCCUUCUUCUGCUUCAGCACAGGGGGCAACACUGGUGAAAAAAAUUUGCUGGCAAGGUUGAAGAACUCAAAUGAGACCUCUCUCCCAGCUCUGGAAUGCCCAUUGAUAGUAGUUGAUUCUGCAUAAAGAAUACAGG